GACGAACGCUGGCGGCGUGCUUAACACAUGCAAGUCGAACGGAAAGGCCCUGCUUUUGUGGGGUGCUCGAGUGGCGAACGGGUGAGUAACACGUGAGUAACCUGCCCUUGACUUUGGGAUAACUUCAGGAAACUGGGGCUAAUACCGGAUAGGAGCUCCUGCUGCAUUGUGGGGGUUGGAGAGUUUCGGCGGUUGGGGAUGGACUCGCGGCUUAUCAGCUUGUUGGUGGGGUAGUGGCUUACCAAGGCUUUGACGGGUAGCCGGCCUGAGAGGGUGACCGGCCACAUUGGGACUGAGAUACGGCCCAGACUCCUACGGGAGGCAGCAGUGGGGAAUAUUGCACAAUGGGCGGAAGCCUGAUGCAGCAACGCCGCGUGGGGGAUGACGGCCUUCGGGUUGUAAACCGCUUUCGCCUGUGACGAAGCGUGAGUGACGGUAAUGGGUAAAGAAGCACCGGCUAACUACGUG
rnacentral:rRNA from 1 species